UGGGAACCUUCCCUAUGGUUCGGAAUAGCCCAGGGAAACUUGAGGUAAUACCGGAUAAGCCCUUCGGGGAAAGAUUUAUCGCCAUUGGAUGGGCCCGCGUCGGAUUAGCUAGUUGGUGAGGUAACGGCUCACCAAGGCAACGAUCCGUAGCUGGUCUGAGAGGAUGAUCAGCCACACUGGAACUGAGACACGGUCCAGACUCCUACGGGAGGCAG
rnacentral:rRNA from 1 species